rnacentral:rRNA from 1 species
UCUGUAGCAAUACAGAUGGCGCACGGCGCACGGGUGCGUAACACGUGGGUAAUCUGCCCUUCGAAGGGGAAUAACUCGCCGAAAGGCGAGCUAAUUCCGCAUAACAUUCCGAGAACCUUGGUUUUUGGAUUCAAAGGCGUAAGUCGUCGGAGGAGGAGCCCGCGCACGAUUAGCUAGUUGGUAUGGUAACGGCCUACCAAGGCUACGAUCGUUAACUGGUCUGAGAGGAUGGCCAGCCACACUUGGAACUGAGACACGGUCCAGACUCCUUACGGAGGCAGCAGUGGGGAAUCUUGCUCAAUGGGCGAAAGCCUGAUG